rnacentral:rRNA from 1 species
GACGAACGCUGGCGGCGUGCCUAAUACAUGCAAGUCGAGCGCAGGAAAUCGACGGAACCCUUCGGGGGGAAGUCGACGGAAUGAGCGGCGGACGGGUGAGUAACACGUAAAGAACCUGCCCUCAGGUCUGGGAUAACCACGAGAAAUCGGGGCUAAUACCGGAUGGGUCAUCGGACCGCAUGGUCCGAGGAUGAAAGGCGCUCCGGCGCCGCCUGGGGAUGGCUUUGCGGUGCAUUAGCUAGUUGGUGGGGUAAUGGACCACCAAGGCGACGAUGCGUAGCCGACCUGGGAGGGUGAUCGGCCACACUGGGACUGGGACACGGCCCAGACUCCUACGGGAGGCAGCAGUAGGGAAUCUUCCACAAUGGACGAAAGUCUGAUGGAGCAACGCCGCGUGAACGAUGAAGGCCUUCGGGUCGUAAAGUUCUGUUGUAAGGGAAGAACAAGUGCCGCAGGCAAUGGCGGCACCUUGACGGUACCUUGCGAGAAAGCCACGGCUAACUACGUGCCAGCCGCCGCGGUAAAAC